ensembl:processed_transcript
CGUUAUGUAGGUCCAGUGCUAGACUCAGAUGACUUGGGUAAAUCAGACUUGCUGCCCGCCCUUAUGAAAACCAUGAUCUGCUACCAACCUGUGGGCCAGGAAGUCAUGCACCUGCAUCUGGAUCUCUCUGGUACCUGUGAAAUCUAGAUCCCCAGGCCUGCUCUCUGGAAAUAUAAAUCUGGUGCCAUAAAGAAAUGAAGAUGGACUAGGAGGAAUUGCUGAGGAGAGUGGGAAAGAGCAGGGGAGAUCCUGGGUUCACACCAAGAGACAGAGUCCCCAGAGAAUAAAGGUGAGUGGGAGGAAGGGCUCCUGCAAGCAGGCUACAGCAGGACUGAGAGUAUUUCUGGAGAGAUUGGAAUGCAUGACAGGAAGGAGAGUGAAAAUUGCCUACCUGAGGCCCAGUCCAUUGGGGCCACUGAUAGUCUUUGGUACAAAGUGUUUUGUUGUGGGUUAGUAGGUGAUCCAAAAUAAUGGAAUUGAGAUAGAAGGAAAGGCUGAGAGGAUGAUAGGAAAUAGCUAGGGAAUCCCUGGAUCUGCACCAAGAGGUAGGAUCCCCAGGGGAUGGAGGUGAGGUACUAAGAAAGACUCCCACAGGCAUACUGCAGCAGGACUAAGAGUCAAUCAGAUGAUCAGAAUUAAGGAGCUC